rfam:Roseburia sp. CAG:45 genomic scaffold, scf64
UGAUGAAAGCUGUAAGCGGCACUUGGAAUUUCAGUGGGCACCAGGCAACGCUGGCACAUGGAUGUGACAGCGAGGCGCAACCUGAACAUGGAUGUGAAUUUGCGCCGGUUGCCGGGAAAAACAAUAUCUUAAUUAAAAUUCUUAGUGCCGCUUACAACUUUUAUGU